UUUUGUUUUCUCAUGAUUUGGUUGGGUCUAAUUGUGCUGCUGUCCUGGGGCUCUGUGGGGUGUGUUUGUGUUUGUGAACAGAGCCCCAGGACCAGCUUGCUUAGGGGACUCUUCUCCAGGUUCCUCUCUCUGUAGGGUGUGUUUGUGAACAGAGCCCCAGGACCAGCUUGCUUAGGGGACUCUUCUCCAGGUUCAUCUCUCUGUAGGGUGUGUUUGUGAACAGAGCCCCAGGACCAGCUUGCUUAGGGGACUCUUCUCCAGGUUCAUCUCUCUGUAGGGUGUGUUUGUGAACAGAGCCCCAGGACCAGCUUGCUUAGGGGACUCUUCUCCAGGUUCAUCUCUCUGUAGGGUGUGUUUGUGAACAGAGCCCCAGGACCAGCUUGCUUAGGGGACUCUUCUCCAGGUUCAUCUCUCUGUAGGGUGUGUUUGUGAACAGAGCCCCAGGACCAGCUUGCUUAGGGGACUCUUCUCCAGGUUCAUCUCUCUGUAGGGUGUGUUUGUGAACAGAGCCCCAGGACCAGCUUGCUUAGGGGACUCUUCUCCAGGUUCAUCUCUCUGUAGGGUGUGUUUGUGAACAGAGCCCCAGGACCAGCUUGCUUAGGGGACUCUUCUCCAGGUUCAUCUCUCUGUAGGGUGUGUUUGUGAACAGAGCCCCAGGACCAGCCUGCUUAGGGGACUCUUCUCCAGGUUCAUCUCUCUGUAGGGUGUGUUUGUGAACAGAGCCCCAGGACCAGCUUGCUUAGGGGACUCUUCUCCAGGUUCAUCUCUCUGUAGGGUGUGUUUGUGAACAGAGCCCCAGGACCAGCUUGCUUAGGGGACUCUUCUCCAGGUUCAUCUCUCUGUAGGGUGUGUUUGUGAACAGAGCCCCAGGACCAGCUUGCUUAGGGGACUCUUCUCCAGGUUCCUCUCUCUGUAGGGUCUGUUUGUGAACAGAGCCCCAGGACCAGCUUGCUUAGGGGACUCUUCUCCAGGUUCAUCUCUCUGUAGGGUGUGUUUGUGAACAAAGCCCCAGGACCAGCUUGCUUAGGGGACUCUUCUCCAGGUUCAUCUCUCUGUAGGUGAUGGCUGUGUGGGGUCUGUUUGUGAACAGAGCCCCAGGACCAGCUUGCUUAGGGGACUCUUCUCCAGGUUCAUCUCUCUGUAGGUGAUGGCUUUGUGGUGGACA